rnacentral:rRNA from 1 species
AGAGUUUGAUCCUGGCUCAGAACGAACGCUGGCGGCAGGCUUAAUACAUGCAAGUCGAACGGGCGUAGCAAUACGUCAGUGGCGCACGGGUGCGUAACGCGUGGGAAUCUACUCUAUAGUACGGAAUAACUCAGGGAAACUUGUGCUAAUACCGUAUACGCCUGAAAGGGGAAAGUUUUUCGCUAUAGAAUGAGCCCGCGUUGGAUUAGCUUGUUGGUGGGGUAAUGGCCUACCAAGGCGACGAUCCAUAGCUGGUCUGAGAGGAUGAUCAGCCACACUGGGACUGAGACACGGCCCAGACUCCUACGGGAGGCAGCAGUAGGGAAUAUUGGACAAUGGGCGAAAGCCUGAUCCAGCCAUGCCGCGUGAGUGAAGAAGGCCUUAGGGUUGUAAAGCUCUUUUAGUGGGGAAGAUAAUGACUGUACCCACAGAAAAAGCCCCGGCUAACUCCGUGCCAGCAGCCGCGGUAAUACGGAGGGUGCAAGCGUUAUCCGGAUUUAUUGGGUUUAAAGGGUCCGUAGGCGGACGAUUAAGUCAGCGGUGAAAGCCCACAGCUCAACUGUGGAACUGCCAUUGAUACUGGUUGUCUUGAGUACGGUUGAUGUUGGCGGAAUAAGUCAUGUAGCGGUGAAAUGCAUAGAUAUGACUUGGAACCCCGAUUGCGAAGGCAGCCAACAAAGCCGAAACUGACGCUGAGGGACGAAAGCGUGGGUAGCGAACAGGAUUAGAUACCCUGGUAGUCCACGCUGUAAACGAUGAUUAUUCGGCAUUGGCGCAAGUCAGUGCCCAAGCGAAAGUGAUAAGUAAUCCACCUGGGGAGUACGGCCGCAAGGUUGAAACUCAAAGGAAUUGACGGGGGCCCGCACAAGCGGUGGAGCAUGUGGUUCAAUUCGAUGAUACGCGAGGAACCUUACCAGGGUUUAAAUGUGAAUUGACGGAUCUGGAAACAGGUCUUUCUACGGACAAUUUACAAGGUGCUGCAUGGUUGUCGUCAGCUCGUGCUGUGAAGUGUCGGGUUAAGUCCCAUAACGAGCGCAACCCCUGUCGUUAGUUGCCAGCGAGUGAUGUCGGGAACUCUAACGAGACUGCCGGUGUAAACCGUGAGGAAGGUGGGGAUGACGUCAAAUCAUCACGGCCCUUACGUCCUGGGCCACACACGUGCUACAAUGGCCAGUACAGAGAGCAGCCACUACGCGAGUAGGAGCGAAUCUUCAAAACUGGUCUCAGUUCGGAUUGGAGUCUGCAACUCGACUCUAUGAAGCUGGAAUCGCUAGUAAUCGGAUAUCAGCCAUGAUCCGGUGAAUACGUUCCCGGGCCUUGUACACACCGCCCGUCAAGCCAUGGAAGCUGGGGGUACCUGAAGUCGGUGACCGUAAGGAGCUGCCUAGGGUAAAGCUAGUAACUGGGGCUAAGUCGUAACAAGGUAACC